UCCUGGGCCCCAAUACACUAAAAGGCACCAGAUCCCUGCUGAUUUUGGAAGCUAAGCAGGGCCAGUCCUGGUUAGGGCUUGGAUGGGAGAUGGCCAGUGGCUCCCAGGUGCUGCAGGCU
rnacentral:rRNA from 11 species